rnacentral:rRNA from 1 species
UACGGAGGGGGGCUAGCGUUGUUCGGAAUUACUGGGCGUAAAGCGCGCGUAGGCGGCUUUGUAAGUUAGAGGUGAAAGCCCGGGGCUCAACUCCGGAACUGCCUUUAAGACUGCAUCGCUUGAAUCAUGGAGAGGUUAGUGGAAUUCCGAGUGUAGAGGUGAAAUUCGUAGAUAUUCGGAAGAACACCAGUGGCGAAGGCGACUAACUGGACAUGUAUUGACGCUG